rnacentral:lncRNA from 1 species
AAGGAAGGAAGGCAGGAAGGCAGGAAGGAAGGAAGGAAGAAAGGAAGAAAGGAAGGAAGGAAGGAAGAAAGGAAGGAAGGAAGGAAGAAAGGAAGGAAGGAAGGAAGGAAGGAAGGAAGGAAGGAAGGAAGGAAGAAAGGAAGGAAGGAAGGAAGGCAGGCAGGAAGGAAGGCAGGCAGGAAGGAAGGAAGGAAGGAAGGAAGGAAGGAAGAAAGGAAGGAAGGAAGGAAGGAAGGAAGGAAGGAAGGAAGGCAGGAAGGAAGGAAGGAAGGCAGGCAGGCAGGCAGGGAGGAAGGAAGGAAGGAAGGAAGGAAGGAAGGAAGAAAGGAAGGAAG